UACGUAGGUGGCAAGCGUUGUCCGGAUUUACUGGGCGUAAAGGAUGCGUAGGCGGAUAUUUAAGACAGGUGUGAAAGCCCCGAGCUUAACUUGGGAAUUGCGCUUGUGACUGGCGUGCUGGAGUGUGGCAGAGGGAGGUGGAAUUCCACGUGUAGCAGUGAAAUGCGUAGAGAUGUGGAGGAACACCGAUGGCGAAGGCAGCCCCCUGGGCUAACACUGACGCUCAUGCACGAAAGCGUGGGGAGCAAACAGG
rnacentral:rRNA from 1 species